GAAAAAGUAGAAAAACAGCCCACUUCUCCGAACCGGGCGGUCCUUUAAAAAUUAGCAUUCCAAAAUCAGGUGGGAAAGGAAUUUCACCUGAAGAAAGAAGUAUGAGGAAAAGGAGGAGGGUUGGGAUUAAGGGCUGAAUGAGGGAAAAGAGGAAAAGAUAAAAGGCAACCACAGGGGUUCACACACUGUCUGAGGAGGUAACUUCUGCAUGACAGGGCUGUAAUUCCACUGCUCUGUUCAGGUAACUUCGUGAACCUCUCAGACUUUGCCUUUGUGGUUUGACAUCUCUGGAAGCCCUCGAUGGAAUUACAGCAUCAUAAUUCACAGGCAUCUGUUCUUUAUUAUAUCCACUGUAUAGUGGAUAUAGCAGAAUUCCUGCUGCCAGCUAGCAGGAAAGAGAAGUAAUAUUUCACAGCUCUGAAGUAAAGGAGGUCUGUAUUUCACAGUUAUGACAACAUAGCUGUCAAAUAUGGCUUUUUAAAGUGUUACAUAUGAACCCAGACAGUUUUUAUGGUAGCGUUUGUUUCAGGGGGCAAGUUAAGGUGAGCCUUGAAUGGUCUGGAAUUCAGCUACUUGAGAAUCUGUCUUUCCCACUAUUGUUAGUUGGAGCUGUUAAGGUCAGCUCCUGGGUGCUGCACCCUCCAGCAGAAUACCCGUGGUUGGGUCCACCGAGUCGGUACGUACCGAACAGGCUUUUUGGUUGUUCAUCUGUUUGGCGAAAUACAGCAGCUCUCUGAAAAGGUAGCACUUAAAGUUGAACAAAUAAAUUAUUGUGAAUGAUUCCUGUGUUGUGUUUACACAAAAAGAUGCAAGGCUGCAAAGGAUGCGCGGAUGUGCAGCACAGAUUCUGGUGUAACAUCUUCAUGGGCUCUAAAGAACACAUUGCACCCCCAGAUUAAAUAUGAUAAACCUCACCUAUUUGUAGGAGUACUUAAGCCCUCUGAUUUACAAAAUUAUGAUAAUUUCCCAGGGAGGGUUUAGGGCAUACUCUAGAAGAUUUUCCCAUAGCCUUUACAAAGCACUUUUUUUAAAGAUGCUCUGUUGCCAUCAACAGAUGCCCUGAGUAAGUUCACAGUAUUGUGGUGUCUGCCAUUCAUUUGAGCUGUUCUGAAAACAUCAUUGGGAUGUUUAAAUAUAAUUUUGAGGGCCUGAGUGUGAAUAAAUGAACACCACAUUCCCUGCAUGAACCUUUUCCUUAGUUUGGUAGUGUUUUUCUGAUUAUGAACUUGUAAUAUAUUGUAGCUUGUGUUAAAGUUGGGACCAAAAGGUGGACCAGAAAAGACUCCAACCCAAGCCAGUUAUUUGGCUUGAAGUAAUAUUUUUUCAAUAUUUUUUCAAGGUAGCUUUCUAUUAUACUUUACUGUAAAAAUGCAUGUUUAAAUCAGCAGGAAGUUAUUGGCACUUUCUUCAAAUGUUGUAAUGUUCUCCUAUGUAGAAUCAUAGAAUAAUAGAAUAUCCUGAGUUGGAAGGGACCCACAAGGAUCAUCGAGUCCAACUCGGUGUGUAUCAGAAUAUUUCCUUAAAUGUUGCUGUGCUAAAAGUCUAGAAUAGCUUCGUACUUUUCUGUUUGGCAGCAAAAAAUUGUUGAACAUCUCUACGUAUCAUUUUAAAUAGUAUUUGUGUUCUUGAAAUAGUGUCAGAUCAGCAUGGUCACUGCUCUGCUGGACUUCUCCUGUGAGUUAGGGGACUUGAUUUUACAGAGCUGCUCUUCAGAAGCAAUUAAAAGAAAAAAAAACAACAGUCUGAGACUCCCCUUCUGCAACCUGACUUCUGCUUCUCUGGCUCUGAGGAAUUUUAAGGAAAAAUUAGCUGUGGAAAUGCCAUGGAAAGCAAGAGGCUGAGCACAUCGUCCUUACAUAGACCUGACGAGGUUUUAGCACUGUACUUCUGUGAUACUGUUCGAGUGUUAAGAGCUGAAGAGGAAGUGAUCUGCAGACAAAAAACAUGUCUAAGGAAGCUGGUGGGAAAAGAUGAAUGAAUGCCUCUUCUGUCCUUCAUCCUCAAAGACAUCCAUUAAGAUUGUUCUACAUUUAAUUGACUAUGCAGAUUUACAGUAGCCACAAGAUUUAUGGGUUGCAUAAAGUUGUUGUAGCAGACAGUUAAGUUAAGGCAGAAUUUGUUUCCUGUUUUUUUCCUGUCUUUUCCAUUCGAAGCUGUUGCUUUUUGUUGGACUUGAGGUAUUAACUGCAGUGAAUUGCUCCUCUCAGAGCCAACGUGUUAGUCUUUAAUGUGUGCUUUUGUCCCUCAUUUUUCCUGAUAGGAGUUGUACCCAUGGCUGCCAUGAUAAUUUAGCUAGAUAUUCUUUUUAAAAAUGUUAGCAGUCUGCGGAGGGAAGGGAGUAGGAAAUGAGUUUUUUGAGAGGAGGAUUAAUUGAAGAGUGCCAUCUCUCCCUUUCUUUUAAUUUCUCUUAAGAUUGUUAAAGCUGUUAUCGCAAUUUUCCAUGUUGGAAUUAUUAAUUAGGUCUAUGACUUUGGGAUUUACAUGUAGAUUUGGGCUGAAGGGCUCAGCUCUGCCAAGAUGUCACACGCGAAAAUGGGUAUUGCAGCCAAAUCUUCAACGCUGCUCUGCAAAAUUGGAGUGCUGGAGCACUCCUGAGUCAGGCUGAGAUAAUGGCUUACAGGAUACAGAUUUAUUUCUGUGAAUUGCUCAGUAGUGGGGCUUUAUCCUACUUCGUGUUUUUGAAGACUGCUUCUAUCUACCCUUUAACCUUUCCUUGUUAGGAAAUGAUAUCAAGCAAGUGAGAAAACACAAGGUAGGUUGUACGCAGAAGCAUGGAGCUGAGAGGCCUGUAGUAAACCCAGUUUGAGUAACAGGACGUGAGAAAGGAGACUAAACUUGAAUCCUGUCUGCUGCAGAAUCCGUACCUCCUACGUUUCCUUCCAAAAUGAGAAGCCAGAUGCUCAACUGAUAAAUACGAAGCAUAACGAGAAUAGGAAGGAAUUAUAAAAUGCCAAAGGUUUUGUCUUUGAAGUGAGGAAUUUUUAAAAUUGAUCUGAGCUGAAAGUUAAACACAUACUCUUAAAACAGUUACAAAUUACAUUUGUUUGACAAAUCUAAUCUUGUUCUGAAAUGUUUGAGAAAGAUUAGCUUUGAAAAAUGUGACGAGUAACUUUUACGGAGGGUGAUUUUGCCAACUCCUGAGCGUUUGUCUGACAAGACAGACUUACUGAGGCUAAAUUUUCUUUGACUCACAAGCAGACGCAGUAAAUAAAUGGAAAAUGUGAAAAGUCCAAUUUCAGUUUCUGAGGAAGGAAUAUUUCAGCAGUUACUUUUUUCUCUUUUUCUCCUGUAUCGCAACUUAGCCACCUGUGGAGUGGUCAGUGCAGCAUUUUCUGUUGUCUGGGUAGCUCCCAAAGCUCUUCCCUCUCACGGAGGGUGCUUUGGGGAUGCCCCAGGUCAGGAGCACGGUCUUGGCACUAUAUACCCCGUUCGGCUGAUGUCAAAGUACCCCUGAGUAGUGCAAUGGAAGACUUCACAGCAAGAGUUCAGCUGUGCAGUUUCUGAGUGCCAGGGAUUCUCUAAUGUAUCAAAGUUGUAAAUGUGAAGCCAGAUAGUUUACAUGAGAGUGAUUUAUAACUGUUGACGUAUCCUCUAUUCAAGCUGUGUGCUAUUCAUGUUUGUGUUUAUUUUUAAUGGAGAUUGUUUAAAAAUGGAUAAAUAUUACUUUUGUCUGGUCAGAUAUUUAGAGAAAAACAAAUAUAAAAGAUGUGUUUUUAGACACUGCUCAAUCCUCUUCUUUAUUCCUAAAAAGAAAAAAAAAUGGGGGGGUAGGAGGAAGGGAAGACUGUGG